GGGUGAACACCACAUUUAACACUGCAUUCUCAAAAACACAGCAAGGACUUUGGAGCACAGCCAAAAUGCCAGGAACGAAAGGUAAUAAGUCGGACAAGAAGUCAGCUACCAAGCAACCUCAGAGUCCUAAAGAGCAGCCGAAGAAAGUUGAUCAGAAAGGAGAUGACAAUAAGAAGCAAGGAGCAGGACAGCCGAAGGGAGAGAAGCAGUAACUUCCAGGCGUUUGUGAAAAUGGCUUUGGAGACACUACUGGGGUCCUGUCGACGUAAACAUGGGGGUCCUCGGGGCAGACAGGGCUGAGUGUACAUCCUCUCCCUGCUGCUCCACCCCCCACCGAGCCUGGAUCUGUUGUGUGGCCCUUUAAAAGGACAUCUGCUCACCUCUCACAGAAGGCAGAACAGGAAUCCAUAUUCAUCUGCUUCUUUCCACCUUGUCCCCCCCCCCCCCCCCCCGCCACCACACACACACACACACACACACAUACUGUCCACUCUGGCUUAUUGGAUGUUCAUUGAAAAAAAAAAAGAAUCUCAGAAAAAUCUUUCCCUGACUGUCAAACAGUCCAUGCAUUUUUCUUGUAAAUAAGUACGAUUCAAAUAAAGGACUAUUUGGUACAGCA